rnacentral:rRNA from 1 species
UACGGAGGGUGCAAGCGUUAUCCGGAUUCACUGGGUUUAAAGGGUGCGCAGGCGGAUAUGUAAGUCAGUGGUGAAAUCUCCGGGCUUAACCCGGAAACUGCCGUUGAUACUAUAUAUCUUGAAUGCUGUGGAGGUAAGCAGAAUAUGUCAUGUAGCGGUGAAAUGCUUAGAUAUGACAUAGAAUACCUAUUGCGAAGGCAGCUUACUACGCAGAUAUUGACGCUCAUGCACGAAAGCGUGGGGAUCAAACAGG